UUGGUUUUAGGUGGUUGAUUAGCAGGGAUGGCAUUACCCGGAAAAUACAACUAGGUUAUAGUAGUAUUAAAAAUAACUCAGGUUUUUCUAAGUUUGAAACAUUAAUAUUUUUUAUGCUAAAAGGUUUUAAGAAAACACUUGCAAUUUACAGCGCCUUGUUUACCGAUGGCCAUUUGUAUGCUUUUUAAAAAAUGUCUAUUCUGCCGGGCGUGGUGGCUCACGCCUGUAAUCCCGGAACUUUGGGAGGCAAAGGCGGGUGGAUCACUUGAGGUCAGGAGUUCAAGACCAGCCUCUAUAUAUCCUCUGAAAUCUAGGCGGAGGCUCCUGAGCCUCAUUCACUCUUACACUCUGUGUACCCACAGGCUUAACACUACAUGGAAGCUACCAAGGCUUAUGGCUUACAUCCUCCAGAGCAACUUUGAAGUUCAAAGUUCCACAGAUCCAUAGAGCAAGGACACAUUGCAGCCAGGCUGUUUGCUAAAGCAUAGCUUUACUCCAAUUCUCGGUAACUUUCCCGUAUUCACCUGAGACCUCCUCAGCUUGGACUUCAUUGUCCAUAUCACUAUCAGCAUUUUGGUCACAACAAUUCAAGUCUCUAGGAAGUUCCAAACUUUUCCCUCAUCUUCCUGUUUUCUUCUGAGCCCUCCAAACUGUUCCAACCUCUGCCUGUUAUCCAGUUUCAAAGCUGCUUCCACAUUUUCAGGUAUCAUAGCAAUGCCCCUUUUCUUGGUACUAAUUUUCUGUGUUAGUCCAUUCUUGAAUUUCUAUAAAGAAAUACCUGAGACUCGGUAAUUUAUAAAGAAAAGAGGUUUAAUUGGCUCACAGUUCUGCAGGCUGUACAGGAAGCAUAGUGGCUUCUGCUUCUGGGAAGGCCUUAGGAAACUUACAAUCAUGGCAGAAGUCAGAAUGAAAACAGGCAUUUGGUUGAUCACUAGUAUAGCACAAAGAUUAAUAUAUUUUUAAGAGUUUUUACCACUCUUUGGUAAAGUUUGCUACCCUCAGGGAGCCCCAAACCUUCAUUUAGCCAAUAGCCCGCUCUGAAUGUGUAUAUUACGAUGUGCAGUUUCAUUCAUCAAGGGGAUUUCGGGCUCCAGCAGCACGCAGCCUCCAGUCUUGAGUGACUCCUGGGCUUUGGCUCAGCAGUAACUCCUCCAUAAAAACAAGUGUGUGCAUCUGGCUGUUAGAAGAAUUCAUGCUCAUCCGGGUAAGGAUAAACUGGAGAAAUUAUUCCUUUUUUUCCCUUUGGGUGGUUUUGAGGUUUUAGAAAAAUUGAUCCUCUCUUUGAGAAGAGUUCAGAACUAUUUGUCUGAAGUUUUUCCAUCCAAACUGCUUUAUCGUAUUAUCCACUGUCUUACCCUUUUCCUGUGAAAUCUACCCUCUUCAAAACAUAGUUUCAUUUUCAAAUUUUAAAAGAUAAGAUUCCAUUUUUCUUUCCGUGCAUGAAACUUUAAAAAUUAAAUCACCACAGUUGCUACUGGCUUAGAAGUGGGGUCUUAUAUUUUUAGGAAGUAUACUUUAAAAGUUAGGCAGAGGGGAAAUCUAUGUUUGCAUUUGAUUUAUGAAACAGUGACUGUUACAUUAAAGGGCGGAUUUUCAGACAUACUACUUGAUCUGCUCUGACAAGCUAUGAGCUCUCUCUCUCUGCCACUUUUCUCCCGAACUGUGUUCUAAUGGUGGAAUCAGCUCAUCUUUUUUCCUUAGGCAUGUGGUUUAGUCUGUGUACAUUCAGCGCGGUGGCAUUUUUCUUGAAGAAGUGACUAAGGCUUCUUGGAUGAAUUCUGUCUUUGAAAGAGGUAGUAGAAUUGCAUCAGAAAGGCAUUUACAGUAAAUGGCUACCCCCCCUUCCUGUAAUGACCGCAUGUGAAAGAAUGCAUUAAUUCUUGUUUUGAGGAAAUGAGAGUUGUAGAGUUCUAUGAAAAACUCCCUUUUUUAUCAUUAGUUAGCCAGGUUUGAAUGUUCACAUUUUAAAAAUCAGGCUCAUUUUGUGCUAUCUAAAUAAAAGUCACAAAGAUACAGCUUUCCACUCCAUGUUCUAUGUGGAGU
rnacentral:lncRNA from 1 species